GAUGAACGCUGGCGGCGUGCCUAAUACAUGCAAGUCGAGCGAACAGACGAGGAGCUUGCUCCUUUGACGUUAGCGGCGGACGGGUGAGUAACACGUAGGUAACCUACCUAUAAGACUGGGAUAACUUCGGGAAACCGGAGCUAAUACCGGAUAAUAUUUCGAACCGCAUGGUUCGAUAGUGAAAGAUGGCUUUGCUAUCACUUAUAGAUGGACCUGCGCCGUAUUAGCUAGUUGGUAAGGUAACGGCUUACCAAGGCAACGAUACGUAGCCGACCUGAGAGGGUGAUCGGCCACACUGGAACUGCGACACGGUCCAGACUCCUACGGGAGGCAGCAGUAGGGAAUCUUCCGCAAUGGGCGAAAGCCUGACGGAGCAACGCCGCGUGAGUGAUGAAGGUCUUCGGAUCGUAAAACUCUGUUAUUAGGGAAGAACAAACGUGUAAGUAACUGUGCACGUCUUGACGGUACCUAAUCAGAAAGCCACGGCUAACUACGUG
rnacentral:rRNA from 1 species